GAUGAACGCUAGCUACAGGCUUAACACAUGCAAGUCGAGGGGCAGCAUGGUCUUAGCUUGCUAAGGCCGAUGGCGACCGGCGCACGGGUGAGUAACACGUAUCCAACCUGCCGUCUACUCUUGGACAGCCUUCUGAAAGGAAGAUUAAUACAAGAUGGCAUCAUGAGUCCGCAUGUUCACAUGAUUAAAGGUAUUCUGGUAGACGAUGGGGAUGCGUUCCAUUAGAUAGUAGGCGGGGUAACGGCCCACCUAGUCUUCGAUGGAUAGGGGUUCUGAGAGGAAGGUCCCCCACAUUGGAACUGAGACACGGUCCAAACUCCUACGGGAGGCAGCAGUGAGGAAUAUUGGUCAAUGGGCGCAGGCCUGAACCAGCCAAGUAGCGUGAAGGAUGACUGCCCUAUGGGUUGUAAACUUCUUUUAUAAAGGAAUAAAGUCGGGUAUGCAUACCCGUUUGCAUGUACUUUAUGAAUAAGGAUCGGCUAACUCCGUGCCAGCAGCCGCGGUAAUACGGAGGAUCCGAGCGUUAUCCGGAUUUAUUGGGUUUAAAGGGAGCGUAGAUGGAUGUUUAAGUCAGUUGUGAAAGUUUGCGGCUCAACCGUAAAAUUGCAGUUGAUACUGGAUAUCUUGAGUGCAGUUGAGGCAGGCGGAAUUCGUGGUGUAGCGGUGAAAUGCUUAGAUAUCACGAAGAACUCCGAUUGCGAAGGCAGCCUGCUAAGCUGCAACUGACAUUGAGGCUCGAAAGUGUGGGUAUCAAACAGG
rnacentral:rRNA from 1 species